rnacentral:lncRNA from 1 species
UUUCACGCUUAUCACAUAUGUAAAUUCAACUGUGUGUAUCCAAUGUUGGAAGUAAUAAAGUGAACUGAACUAAAGGGAAAAACUUCGAUCAAAUGAGUUUUGUUGCUUCUCACUUUUAAAUAAUUUCCUGUUCUCUGAUGCUGCUAUUAGGAAGAUUUCAAGGAGCAUUAAGUAUGAAGAUGAGUCCAAGCUGGAUUACAGUGGCAAAGUGCCUGAGAGCAGAGAGAUGAAACCCAGAUCUAUCCUGGAAGUCUCCAAAGGUCGAACAGCACAGUCCCUGGCAGUGAAGAAUGCUGCAGGCACAGAUGCCCGUCCUGUUUUUCAAGCAUAAAUAUCAUCUCAUCUCAUUACUGGAUUCAAACUAACUAACCUGCAGUGCUGCUGAACCUUUCAUUUCCCUUAAAGGUCAGCCGGCGUCUCUGACUGUACUUACACACUAAUCUUCCCGCAUUCUAUACUGAGCAGACUGCAGCUCCAACACUGAGCAGUCAAGACCUGGCCAAGACUUACGGGAUGAGGAAAAAUGAUCGAAGGCCUCGAAGGACAGAGCAGAAUAAGAUCCUUUAUCCAGACUAAUGAGCGAAAUGUCCUCCUACACUGAAGUCACAGUGCUGGAGGUGAUAAUGGAAGAGAUACCUUUUAUAUUAUGCCACUAAUGGGGGAGAUGAAUGCAGUGCGAUACCCAUUCACCUUGGCUAACCGCGCCCCGAAGUGUGACGUUCUUCUUUUUUUGAAAGUGCUGUGGGAAUGAAAAGUGCCUUAAGUGAACGUGCGCUGUGCAGCGAAGAUCCCUUCAGCCUCUGCUGUAAACCAUCUAAAAGGAUUUAGAAGUUGGGAUGCCUUCUCUUCAGUGCAAUCUUUGCUAUAAAUAAGUUUAAUAUUGUAUAUCAUUGGGGCAUAUACUACGCCAUAAUCCAUAAAAAGAAGCGUGGCUCAGAAGCCCCGCUACUUAAGCAUCUGUUUACUUUCCUGUAAAUGCCAUUCACUUCUCAUAUGAUAACCAUAAUGGUCUCUUAAAUCAUAAGUGGUGUAGGUGGUGUAAUGCAAUGCUGGCGCAAUGAAAAGAGGAAGCAAACCUGAGAGUGAAGUUCACUGAAGGACAUUUCACACGACAACUUUUAAGACUUUUGCCUGCAGUGAAUUUGUACUCCAGUGUCUCAGCCCUGCACAGAGGCCUGUCCUUUUUAAAAACUGUCUGCUUUGCAUAUCAGAACGCUGACUACGUUCAGUGUGCCUGGCCGUAAUGAGAUCGCCAUCACGCUGGGGACAAAGCACGCUCUCUGAUUCAGAUUCAGAUUUAGAUUCAGUCCUCUCUA